ACAUUCUUCUCAUGGAUAUAGUUUACCUUCAGAAGUGUGCGAACAGAAUCGCUGUUUGACAUUUCUAAACAUAUUUAUUUUUAAAUGUGUAUAAAUGUGAAAUACCUGUGCUUGGAUCCAAUACUACCUAACGACGACAGCUAACUACUGUACGGAUGGAAUAUUUUCUACCAGUGUUAACAGGAGCAAGCAAAGUCGUCUGUUACGAAGAGAGGCCAGACGUGAUUGAAAAAAACCCAACGAAUCUGGAAGGUCGAAUGAGGCUCUGCAUUCCCUAAGCUUCAUUAAUACAGUGGACUGUCGGGCAAAUGAUUGCUUUACUGUUAACACAGGCUGGACUGUACUUUGCAUCACUUACUUUAUGGCUGAGAUCUUCAAUUAUACCUAUAGUUAUAUAGUUCUAUUUUAGUUUCUAUUAUCGUAAUAGAUGUUCCUUUGAUUAAGAAAUGAGUUCCAUUUGAUUUGCUGUUCGAAUUACUGUAAAUGGUUUGGACAAACUAUAAAACGUUUUAUCAAUAGUAGUACUUGUGAUGCAAAUUUAUCUGGAUCAAAAAUGCAGAAGUCCAGUUAGGUCUUUGGGGUUCCUCGCAAGGCAACACUCAAUUCUUGUUAUUCCUGGCUG